rnacentral:rRNA from 1 species
UACACGCUGUGACUAGCAUAUCAAUAAGCGGAGGAAAAGAAACUAACAAGGAUUCCCCUAGUAACGGCGAGUGAAGCGGGAAGAGCUCAAAUUUGAAAUCUUAAAGGGUUUCCCUUUACGAAUUGUAGUUUAAAGAAGUGUUUUCUGUUGAGGUUUUGGUAAAAGUUCUUUGGAAUAGGACAUCAUAGAGGGUGAGAAUCCCGUAUUUGACCUUUACUUUCAACUUUGUGAUACACUUUCAAAGAGUCGGAUUGUUUGGGAAUGCAGUCCAAAAUGGGUGGUAAAUCUCAUCUAAAGCUAAAUAUUGGCGAGAGACCGAUAGCGAACAAGUACCGUGAGGGAAAGAUGAAAAGAACUUUGAAAAGAGAGUUAAACAGUACGUGAAAUUGUCAAAAGGGAAGCGUUUGACACCAGUGUUGUUUUUUCUGAAAAUCAAUUAAAGAACUGUUUAUGCUAAGCUGUUUAGACUUUAUCAGCUAACUGUUUAGUUUUGAACUUUUCUUUAAUGCACUUUUUCAGGUUAACAAGUCAACAUCAAUUUCUUUUUGCUGUAAAAAAGCUUGAGGAAGGUGGCUUGAGAUUCGUCUUAAGUGUUUAUAGCCUCUUGCCUAUGCAGUCGGAGAGAUUGAGGUCUGCAGCGUAGAUCCUUCGGGGCUAAAUGCAUUUGUGCUAAGUUAUAGCAUUUUAUAGACAACUUGUUGACUAUGAUUUGUCUUGUAGCUUACUCGCUUAUGUUAUUUUACCUACGCUUAGGAUGUUGAUAUGCAUGACUGAUAU